UGUGUGUCCACUACUCGAGGUCCUUCACGAUCAUCAUUCCUUCCUAAGUAAUGAUGCACUUCAUGAGCUGAUGGCAUCCCAGAUUGUGGAAUAUCUGGUACAUAUUCAGUUCGAGGUCGUUUGAGCAAUCCAGCAGAUUGAGGAAGCUGCGGUUGACGAUUCCAAUAUGCAUCCCCCAUCUUUUCUUCUUCUCUACACUAACUACAACAAUUCACAACCCAAAA
rnacentral:misc_RNA from 1 species